UACGGAGGAUGCGAGCGUUAUCCGGAUUUAUUGGGUUUAAAGGGUGCGUAGGCGGACGGUCAAGUCAGCGGUAAAAAUGCGGUGCUCAACGCCGUACAGCCGUUGAAACUGGCAGUCUUGAGUGGGCGAGAAGUAUGCGGAAUGCGUGGUGUAGCGGUGAAAUGCAUAGAUAUCACGCAGAACUCCGAUUGCGAAGGCAGCAUACCGGCGCCCGACUGACGCUGAGGCACGAAAGCGUGGGUAUCGAACAGG
rnacentral:rRNA from 1 species